rnacentral:rRNA from 1 species
GACGUAGGGCGCGAGCGUUGUCCGGAUUUAUUGGGCGUAAAGAGCUCGUAGGCGGUGUGUCGCGUCGGUCGUGAAAACUUGGGGCUUAACCCUGAGCUUGCGGUCGAUACGGGCAUCACUGGAGUUCGGCAGGGGAGACUGGAAUUCCUGGUGUAGCGGUGAAAUGCGCAGAUAUCAGGAGGAACACCGGUGGCGAAGGCGGGUCUCUGGGCCGAUACUGACGCUGAGGAGCGAAAGCGUGGGGAGCGAACAGG